rnacentral:rRNA from 1 species
CCUACGGGAGGCAGCAGUGAGGAAUAUUGGUCAAUGGGCGCGAGCCUGAACCAGCCAAGUAGCGUGAAGGAUGACUGCCCUACGGGUUGUAAACUUCUUUUAUAAAGGAAUAAAGUGAGGCACGUGUGCAUUUUUGUAUGUAGGUUAUGAAUAAGGAUGGGCUACCGCCGUGCCAGCAGCCGCGGUAAUACGGAGGAUCCGAGCGUUAUCCGGAUUGAUUGGGUUUAAAGGGAGCGUAGAUGGGUUGUUAAGUCAGUUGUGAAAGUUUGCGGCUCAACCGUAAAAUUGCCAUUGAUACUGGCAGCCUUGAGUACAGUUGAGGUAGGCGGACUUCGUGGUGUAGCGGUGAACUGCUUAGCUCUCACGAAGCACUCCGAUUGCGAAGGCAGCCUACUAAACUGCCCCUGACAUUGAUGCUCGAAAGUGUGGGUAUCAAACAGGAUUAGAUACCCCAGUAGUC